GAGAUACGAUCUUACGUAUACGUAAGCUCCCGAAGGGAGCUAGAGAGGUAACUCUUUUCGCGCGUUCUUUUCUCCCAUAGGUUUUGUACACAGCCAACAUGGCUGCCGGCGGACAAUUUGAAGGUUGAUUUUGGAGGGUCAAUGUUUAAUUCAUGAAAUGACGUCAAAUUACGCAAAAUACACUUCCAUGAUUGGCUAAGACGCUAAUGUUUUAUUCAUAUCUUAUGAAUUAAACACGUUUUUUCCUUCCCACAAUUCCCCACGAGAUCUGUGCGAAGUGUUGUUCUUUUGGACUGUGCGAAUUUCCAGUUUCUACAACGAAAUAGCUCGACUAAUCAUCUGUUUAUAGAAUUGAUGUUCGAAAUCGUGAUUUUUGAGUGAACUUCAUUGGAGCAGAAAAUCUUGGAGGGAACAUCAAUAAUAAUCUACUGACAUUCCAUGAGAAUAAAAAUCCAAUAGGACCAAGAUUUUAGCAGUUCACACCCGGUCAGAGGGACAAAAUUGAGAACCAUGCAGAUCAGCAAGUGUUUCCCACUGCCCAAGCUGUUUAAGUACUGGUAUCACAACAAGUACCAAGAUGGAAGAUAUAUGAAGGCCAAGCUAAUAAGUAGUUACUUCAAAUUAAUUUGAAUAGAUAUAUCAACAAAGCAGUGAAUGUUCUUUAAACUGCACAU